GGCCGGGCGGCCAGGGUUCACGCUCCUCCUGCCCGGCCCCUCGGCAGUCCGGGGCCGAGGACCGUGAGGAGAAGAAGCCCCGCCGCUCAGCCAUUAGAUCAGCAUUUUUCCAGAUGAGGAUGGCCCCUUCCAGAAAUGAAGGCCACAAGGAGCCCUCCAUCAAAUCACAGAGGACAUAAACGAGAAAGAAAGGACGGAAGGAAAGGAAGAGAAGGAGGGAGGAACAGGAAGGAAGGGAGGAAGAGAGAAAGGAAGAAAGACAAUUAUGCCUACCAUUUUCCUCUAACUUAUUCCCUUCUUCUGAGCCAAAAUUCCAUAUGUGGUAAAAGUUUUCCAAUACAUUUAAUCUCAUUGGGAUUAGUAUAUAAAGACAGUUUAACAUCACAGCCCUCCUUUUCUGCUGUCCCAUUCUAAAUCUGCUGUUAUCUUUGCAGUUACUACUUCUGAACCUUCAGAAUAUUGGAAUGUUCCUUCC